GUGUGUGUGCGUACGACCAGGGGAAGCUCCCCAUGGAGCCAAACCCUAACCUUCAACAAAUCUACCAAAUUGAAGGUCAAUCCAAGACCCAAAUCGAUGCAUGAACGCGUAGAAACGAUCACCAAGUCAUGGGGAUCACAAGUUUGACGCUUGGCAAGCUAGGUGAAGGCUUGGGGAAGGAAGCGGGUCAAACGAAGCAAGAAUGACGGAAAAGCAUAAUUCGGAUGCAAGGUAAGUAUAACUUACCCUAGUCUUAUAUUUCAGAAUAUUCUCUUAUCGUAUUAGUUACGAAUAAGAUAAAUACAAAAUCGAGGUAUGAUGUUCCGGCGUGUAGACGUACGGAACAAGAUAGUCGAGCAUAAUAAGAAACCAUGUUGAUGGUUUAAAAGGAGUUAAAUCGGUAAUUCGAUCUUUUUAUGACAAAUGGAAAAAAUGAACUUUUGGAAUGGUUACCUUAUAGGAUAAACCAAAACAAACAAUAAGGGUAAAACGGUAAAUUGGUCAUGCGUUGACCAUAACUAUUGGUUUUGAAAGACACGGUAGGACGUAAGCCAUGAUAGACUAAAAAUCGUUAAGAAAUGAUUAAUAAGUGAAAUGACCGCACGGUGUAAACCAGAGCGAGUCAUGUAGAUGAGAUGGUAAUAAAUAUCAUCUCGCCAACAAAAUCGGUCACUUAGACCAAAUGGGUCAAAAGGUGAAGGUAUCACCUUUUGACAAUAACGACUAAUGAUUAUUGUCGAGUUAUAUUAUUUCAGGAGUAAAUGUCAAAUGGAUAUUCGCAACGCUAAGAAUUUGCAAUUAUAAAAGCAAGGUAUUAAAAACGGGUCAAUAUAUUGGUCUGCGCCAGGUACGUGAAAUAGUGUAACACUUAUUUAGAACAUGUGGUUCAAGGAGUGUUAAAAGUAGUCAACAUAGACAUUUGGUUACUUGAUAAGUAAACCGAAUGUUUUGUUAUAAUGAACAUUGCGUUUGGAAAGCUUAAUGACUUUUCAAACAAUAUCAUAAGUUAAAAGAGGGUUUAUGGGUCAAAUAUACUUUCAAAAGUCCUUCAUCGUAAAUGAUUGGCUAAAUAGACUAAAACACCCUUAUAAGCUAAUUUCGACAAACGACCUUUAAAGGUAGUUUUGAAACGAGUUUUAUGAUCAAAUAAAUAAUUGGAAUAAGUGUAAGAAGCGAAAGAUGUAAAUCUUCGGUCAAAUGACUCUAUGAAUCUUUGUCGUAAAUUAGCAAUCCGACGAGAAAAACUCGGAUUAUAGAGAUCACCUCAUUAAGUCCACCACAAAUAUAGUUGUCGUGGAAGAUUACUUGAUAAGAAAUGUUGUAUAAUAACGCUAGAAACGAAUGAAAGCGUUUCAUGCUCAAAAUAUGUCUAAAUACCCUUAACGGGUCAAAAUACGCAAAUGAGCAUAAUCGGGUUUAUGAUACGUAAGAGACCCGUGACUUAAACCUAAUAUGAUAGGAAUUAUUGAAAUUAUGAAUAUCAUGAGAAUAAGGAUCAAAUAAACAUGUUUGUUUGAUAAAAUCGCGAACGGGUCAAAAUUUGGUAAAAAUGGUAAUAAGCCGAAGACUUAAAAAUCUUAAAUUUUGUUAAUCCGGAUGUUGGAUUUUGACUCCAUAUAAUGAAGGGUCAAAUUACAAUCAUGUAGGAAGAAACGGUGGGUCAAACGGAUAAGCGGAUUGAAAGAUACGAAAGUUUUCGUGUCAAUAAACGGCAAAAUGGAAAGCUGGAAUGCAGAGGCCACCGUAACUUAUGGUUCCACCAUAAGUUACGGUGGAGCUGAAAAGUUUUACGGCAGCCCCCUACUGGUUUACGGUAGGGGCAUGUCAAACCAGGGGCCACCGUAACUUACGGUGCCACCGUAAGUUACGGUGGAGGCCAGUUGGAAAUCUUUGUUUUUAGAUCAAGAGUUUAACGUUGGGAUUCUUUUUCCUUCCACUAUCAUUACCGGAUUUGUUUAGACACAUUUUAAAUCCCCGUAUGACUAAAGCAUUUCAUGUUUAUGAAAUGUAGGUACAUUUAGAAUGCUGAAAGACGACCAAGCUCAUCGAAGAACCGAACACGAUAUAGAUUCAUGCUUCCGCACUUGGUCACGUUGUAAAUUUUUAAACGACGAAUUUGCUCACGUUAUGUUGAAUGACUUAUGAUUGUAAAAGUUUUAAUAAACCCGUAUUUCCAAAUGUUUAUGUAAUCUUAAUUACAUGAUUGUUUUUCGUAAAAUAUACGUUAAACCUU
rnacentral:lncRNA from 1 species